rnacentral:rRNA from 1 species
GUGGGGAAUAUUGGGCAAUGGGCGCAAGCCUGACCCAGCAACGCCGCGUGAAGGAAGAAGGCUUUCGGGUUGUAAACUUCUUUUACCUGGGACGAAAAAAAUGACGGUACCUGGAGAAUAAGCCACGGCUAACUACGUGCCAGCAGCCGCGGUAAUACGUAGGUGGCAAGCGUUGUCCGGAUUUACUGGGUGUAAAGGGCGCGUAGGCGGGAGAGCAAGUCAGGAGUGAAAUCUAUGGGCUUAACCCAUAAAUUGCUUUUGAAACUGUUGUUCUUGAGUGAUGGAGAGGCAAGCGGAAUUCCUAGUGUAGCGGUGAAAUGCGUAGAUAUUAGGAGGAACACCAGUGGCGAAGGCGGCUUGCUGGACAUUAACUGACGCUGAUGCGCGAAAGCGUGGGGAGCAAACAGGAUUAGAAACCCGGGUAGUCC